rnacentral:lncRNA from 1 species
GGUCUUUUCAGCUCCAGAGUUCUGGUUGUAAAAGCGCGAGUUUUGUUUUCCCAUAGUGUGGCCUACAGCAGCCAUGGGGACACACGUGCCCCUGCACUCAGGGUCUUCAAUCAGGACUGAACUUCAGACACCAGAUGGCACAUGCCUGUAAUCUCAGCACUUUGGGAGACCGAGGCAGGCGGAUCACUUGAGGUCAGGAGGUCGAGACCAGCUUGGCCAACAUGGUGAGACACCCUCUCUAUUAAAAAUACAAAAAAAUUAGCCGGGCAUGUUGGCGGGCACAUGUAAUCCCAGCUACUUGGGAGGCUGAGGAAGGAGAAUCGCUUGAACCCGGGAGAUGGAAGUUGCAGUAAGCCGAGAUGGUACCACUGCACUCCAGCCUGGGCAACAGAGUGAGACUCUGUUGCCAAAAAAGAAAAAAAAAAGAGGACCAAACAGAUUUUCAUAAAACUACACUUGGCUUACUUUUCGUGGGAAUUGGUGUUGGUGGGUGACUCCAAAAUGUGUUAAAAGAAGAUGCUUGUGCUAUCUUUGAUGUGGAAAAUAGGAGAAGGUACAGAGAUGAGUGGGAGAUGUAGGGUUGAGGAAACUACAAUUUUGAGAGACUCAUGACUUUUUUUUUUCUUUAAGUUCCGGGAUACAUGUGCAGAACGUGCAUGUUUGUUACAUAGGUAUACGUGUGCCAUGGUGGUUUGCUGCACCUAUUUAUUCAUCCUCUAGAUUCCCUUCCCUUGCCCCCCACCCACCAGCAGGUCCUGGUGUAUGUCGUUCCCCUCCCUGUGUCCAUGUGUUCUCAUUAUUCAACUCCCACUUAUGAGUGAGAACAUGUGGUGUUUGGGUUUCUGUUCCUGUGUUACUUUGCUGUGGGUGAUGGCUUCCAGCUUCAUCAUGUCCCUGCAAAGGACAUGAUCUCAUUCCUUUUUAUGGCU